UACGGAGGGGACUAGCGUUGUUCGGAAUUACUGGGCGUAAAGCGCGCGUAGGCGGACCUGCAAGUCGGGGGGUGAAAGCCCGAGGCUCAACCUCGGAACUGCCUUCGAUACUGCGGGUCUCGAGUCCGGGAGAGGUGAGUGGAAUUCCUAGUGUAGAGGUGAAAUUCGUGGAUAUUAGGAAGAACACCAGUGGCGAAGGCGGCUCUCUGGUACGUGACUGACGCUGAGACGCGAAAGCGUGGGGAGCGAACAGG
rnacentral:rRNA from 1 species